GUGAUUCUCCCUGCUGGGAAAUGCUGGGUGACCAGCAGGGGGUGACCACGUGGUGUUGGUGACAUUGACUGUCCUUUACACUUUAGGGCAGGUAGCAACAUCCCUGUUCCUACCCACUAGAUGUCAGUAGCAACCUCCAACCCUUCCAGUUGUGACAACAGAAAUGCCAGGAGAUGUCAAAUAUUCCCCACAGGACAGCAGUGCCCCACUGAGAUUCAUGGAGUUACAGUGACUUCAUUGCACAGCUGUUCCAUCAGGUCCCAGAUACUACCGCAUGACAGGACCUGGGAGAGCAAAAGCAAAGCCUUGGAAUCCCUGUGAGUUAUCCAAAGCGGAAAGCCAAAGGGUGGAUGAUCUCACCUCCUUCCCCGGAAGGAAGAUGCAGAACUUCCUGGGAACCGCACAUCCCUCCUUCCUCCUCCGAGUCCAAAUUUCAAGAAAUGCAGCUAAAAUUGGCCCUCAAACAGCUUUUGCAGAGCACGCCGCAUCUUUUUUUGGGCCUAGAGAGCCAGUUUCCAUGAUGAAAGUGGCACAGAAGGAGAGACCCAGCUAAAAACAGCCACCGCCCAGGCUGGUGUUAACAGGAUGCAGCCUACCCUAAGAUCUGGCAGUUCAGACGCCCAGGCUUCCGCAGCUGAUUUGCUCAUCGCCACUAGGUGGUAGCAUCGCGACAUGAGGCGCGGGAGCACACUCCAGGACCCCAAUGACCGAGAACCCUGUGCGUGAGAACAUUUACCUGCCUUGGAAUUCGCCACUUCAUUGUCUUGCUUUUAUUUUGGGGCAUGCAUUUGCAUUACAGGAGCUCCCCCGAAGUACUUCUUUUAGGGGAUUGGGACCCAAAGAGGUCUUGUGCAUCCUGGCUGCAAACACCAGACACCCUGAAUCACCUAACCCAGCAGGUUUCACCAUGCCAACCUGGCUUCUUUUUGAACAUUCCAAGCAGAGGCGGCAGAGUCUAGAGGGAGAAGUUCAGUUUCUCUCUGGUGCAGUGUAUAGUCGAUGCUCAACAAAUACACAUCACGUUUUCUCAUCUAAAAUGCUUGGGACUAGAAGUGCUUUGGACUCAGGAUGUUGGAAUACAUGCACAGAUACAGUGAGGUGUCUUGGGAAAGGGCCCUGAGUCUGAACCCUGCAUUCAGGUAUGUUCUGUAUGUAUCUUUUAUGCAUAGCCAGAGGUCAGUUUUAUAAACUUUUCCAUGCACCUGUGUUUUGACUGCAGCUGUCAUGCAAGGUCACAUGUGGAAUUUCCCACUCGUGGUCUAAUUUGCUCAGUUUUGGAUUUUGGAUUUUUGGAUUAUGGAUAUUUAUUAUCUUAGUUUGGGGACCACAGAGGAAGGUGGACAGGGUGGGCCAACACUGUGGACACCAGGAGUUUUCCUUUAAGAAAUGUAAAUUCUAGUCCCUGUCUGGCCACCACCUGAGGCAGAACCUCCUGGAUAGGCUCUGGAGAGAUCUCAAAGCACACACUUGAGUUGCUCCACAGCGAAGCUUCUUCUGGCCCUAGUGAUCAGGAAUUUACCUCAGUUCUGGGAAAUGGCUUUAUUCCUCAGGCUAGUCCUCCAUUACAACUAUCUCUCUCAUUUUCCUCAAGUGUCUCCAGCUUUCUCUGCCCUAGCACAGGUGUGUCUGGCUG
ensembl:lncRNA